UACGGAGGGUGCAAGCGUUAUCCGGAUUCACUGGGUUUAAAGGGUGCGUAGGUGGGUUGGUAAGUCAGUGGUGAAAUCUCCAGGCUUAACUUGGAAACUGCCGUUGAUACUAUCUGUCUUGAAUACCGUGGAGGUGAGCGGAAUAUGUCAUGUAGCGGUGAAAUGCUUAGAUAUGACAUGGAACACCAAUUGCGAAGGCAGCUCGCUACACGAAUAUUGACUCUGAGGCACGAAAGCGUGGGGAUCAAACAGG
rnacentral:rRNA from 1 species